GUUAAAGGGGAGUUAGACCCUAAGGGCAGAGCUAAGAAAACUAGACCCAAGCUAGAUAGGACACCUCAUGUAAUAUCAAAUGACAACUGGGCCUAUGAAGCCAGAGUUAAACUUAGUUGCACUUAAGUGGGAGUGUUGGAAAUGGCUUAAGGGAUAAAGUCCCACAUUGGCAGAGAAAGGAGAAAAAGAAGGGUUUAUAAUGGGGCAAAACCAAACCAAAAUGGUUUAGGC
rnacentral:misc_RNA from 1 species